rnacentral:tRNA from 1 species
GAGGGCAUAGCUCACUGGUAGAGCACGUGCUUAGCAUGCACGAGGUCCUGGGUUCAAUCUCCACCACCUCCA